rnacentral:lncRNA from 1 species
UGUAACAAAACUUAUUGUAAUUGAUAUAAUGUGUAUUGUGACAGAAGUGUUAUCUAAUUAUUAUUUAACAAAACAGAUGCAAGGAGGCAAGGUCUUUCAGGCAAAGAGAGGAGCACGUGGAAAGGAAUGGAGAUACAUAUGUGCAAAUGGCAUGUUCCGCUCACUGUUACAGAGGGGAAGGGCAGUGAGUGGGACUGAAAAUGCAGAGGGGCUGUAUCUUUUUAACAUUCAAAUUCACUCAAGUCUCCAUUCGUGCAAGGACACAAUCUAAAUUAUUUCUCAGCUUGGCUCCAACUAAAAACAAAGGAACA